rnacentral:rRNA from 1 species
GGAUUCCCCUAGUAACUGCGAGUGAAGCGGGAAAAGCUCAAAUUUAAAAUCUGGCAGCCUCUGGUUGUCCGAGUUGUAGUCUGGAGAAGUGCUUUCCGCGCUGGACCGUGUAUAAGUCUCUUGGAAUAGAGCGUCAUAGAGGGUGAGAAUCCCGUCUUUGACACGGACUACCAGUGCUUUGUGAUGCGCUUUCAAAGAGUCGAGUUGUUUGGGAAUGCAGCUCAAAAUGGGUGGUAAAUUCCAUCUAAAGCUAAAUAUUGGCGAGAGACCGAUAGCGAACAAGUACCGUGAGGGAAAGAUGAAAAGCACUUUGGAAAGAGAGUUAAACAGUACGUGAAAUUGCUGAAAGGGAAACGCUUGAAGUCAGUCGCGUCGUUUGGAACUCAGCCUUGCUUUUGCUUGGUGCACUUUCUGAAUGACGGGCCAGCAUCAAUUUUGACCGUUGGAGAAGGGUUGGGGGAAUGUGGCACUCUUCGGGGUGUGUUAUAGCCUCUUACCGCAUGCAACGGUUGGGAUUGAGGACCGCAGCGCGCCGCAAGGCAGGGGCAUAUCGCCCACUUUCGCGCUUAGGAUGCUGGCAUAAUGGCUUUAAGCGACCCGUCUUGAAACACGGACCAAGGAGUCUAACAUGCCUGCGAGUGUUUGGGUGGAAAACCCGAGCGCGUAAUGAAAGUGAAAG